rnacentral:rRNA from 1 species
UACGUAGGGGGCUAGCGUUGUCCGGAAUCAUUGGGCGUAAAGAGCGUGUAGGCGGUCCGGUAAGUCCGCUGUGAAAGUCGGGGGCUCAACCCUCGAAUGCCGGUGGAUACUGUCGGGCUAGAGUGCGGAAGAGGCGAGUGGAAUUCCUGGUGUAGCGGUGAAAUGCGCAGAUAUCAGGAGGUACACCUAUUGCGAAGGCAGCUCGCUGGGACGUAACUGACGCUGAGACGCGAAAGCGUGGGGAGCAAACAGG